UAUGUAUUCCCCUAGUAACUGCGAGUGAAGCGGGAAAAGCUCAAAUUUAAAAUCUGGCGGUCUUCGGCCGUCCGAGUUGUAAUCUGGAGAAGCGUUUUCCGCGCUGGACCGUGUACAAGUCUCUUGGAACAGAGCGUCAUAGAGGGUGAGAAUCCCGUCUUUGACACGGACCACCAGUGCUAUGUGAUGCGCUCUCGAUGAGUCGAGUUGUUUGGGAAUGCAGCUCAAAAUGGGUGGUAAAUUCCAUCUAAAGCUAAAUAUUGGCGAGAGACCGAUAGCGAACAAGUACCGUGAGGGAAAGAUGAAAAGCACUUUGGAAAGAGAGUUAAACAGUACGUGAAAUUGCUGAAAGGGAAACGAUUGAAGUCAGUCGCGUGUGCUAGAACUCAGCCUUGCUUUUGCUUGGUGCAUUUUCUAGUGUACGGGCCAGCAUCAGUUUUGGCCGCCGGAAAAAGGCCUUGGGAAUGUGGCACCUUCGGGUGUGUUAUAGCCCUUGGUUGUAUACGGUGGCUGGGACUGAGGAACAUAGCAUGCCUUUACGGCGGGGCUUCGGCCACCUUCAUGCUUUGGAUGCUGGCGUAAGGCUUUAACGACCCACCUGUACCACGGCCC
rnacentral:rRNA from 1 species